rnacentral:rRNA from 1 species
AACGAACGCUGGCGGCAGGCUUAACACAUGCAAGUCGAGCGAGACCUUCGGGUCUAGCGGCGGACGGGUGAGUAACGCGUGGGAACGUGCCCUUCCCUACGGAAUAGCCCCGGGAAACUGGGAGUAAUACCGUAUACGCCCUUUGGGGGAAAGAUUUAUCGGAGAAGGAUCGGCCCGCGUUGGAUUAGGUAGUUGGUGGGGUAAUGGCCCACCAAGCCGACGAUCCAUAGCUGGUUUGAGAGGAUGAUCAGCCACACUGGGACUGAGACACGGCCCAGACUCCUACGGGAGGCAGCAGUGGGGAAUCUUAGACAAUGGGGGCAACCCUGAUCUAGCCAUGCCGCGUGAGUGAUGAAGGCCUUAGGGUUGUAAAGCUCUUUCAGCUGGGAAGAUAAUGACGGUACCAGCAGAAGAAGCCCCGGCUAACUCCGUG